GACGAACGCUGGCGGCGUGCCUAAUACAUGCAAGUUGAGCGAUGAAGAUUGGUGCUUGCACCAAUUUGAAGAGCAGCGAACGGGUGAGUAACGCGUGGGGAAUCUGCCUUUGAGCGGGGGACAACAUUUGGAAACGAAUGCUAAUACCGCAUAACAACUUUAAACAUAAGUUUUAAGUUUGAAAGAUGCAAUUGCAUCACUCAAAGAUGAUCCCGCGUUGUAUUAGCUAGUUGGUGAGGUAAAGGCUCACCAAGGCGAUGAUACAUAGCCGACCUGAGAGGGUGAUCGGCCACAUUGGGACUGAGACACGGCCCAAACUCCUACGGGAGGCAGCAGUAGGGAAUCUUCGGCAAUGGACGAAAGUCUGACCGAGCAACGCCGCGGGAGUGAAGAAGGUUUUCGGAUCGUAAAACUCUGUUGGUAGAGAAGAACGUUGGUGAGAGUGGAAAGCUCAUCAAGUGACGGUAACUACCCAGAAAGGGACGGCUAACCACGUG
rnacentral:rRNA from 1 species